rnacentral:tRNA from 1 species
GCUGGAAUAGCUCAGUUGGUUAGAGCGGCGUAAGGCUAUUAACCACAAGGUUGGAAGUUCGACCCCUCCUUCUAGCG